rnacentral:rRNA from 1 species
AACCGGAAGGACGGGCCGUACCUACGGUACCGUAGGAUUCAUGACUGGGGUG